AUGACUGUAGGUGAAAGCUUACAUCUCUUCGGAGCAUUUUACGAGGUGCUGCAUGGUUGUCGUCAGCUCGUGCCGUGAGGUGUCGGGUUAAGUCCCAUAACGAGCGCAACCCUACCUUUUAGUUGCCAUCAGGUAAUGCUGGGGACGUCUAAAGGAACUGCCUACGCAAGUAGUGAGGAAGGCGGGGAGUGACGUCAAAUCAGCACGGCCCUUACGUCCAGGGCUACACACGUGCUACAAUGGCCGAUACAGAGGGCAGCUACCUGGUGACAGGAUGCAAAUCUCCAAAGUCGGUCUCAGUUCGGAUCGGAGUCUGCAACCCGACUCCGUGAAGUUGGAUUCGCUAGUAAUCGCGCAUCAGCCAUGGCGCGGUGAAUACGUUCCCGGGCCUU
rnacentral:rRNA from 1 species